AUACGUAUGGUGCAAACGUUGUUCGGAAUCACUGGGCUUAAAGAGCACGUAGGCGGUUGAGAAAGUCUGGUGUGAAAUCCCUCGGCUUAACCGAGGAAUUGCAUUGGAAACUUCUCGGCUAGAGUGCAGGAGGGGAGAGUGGAAUUCCUGGUGGAGCGGUGAAAUGCGUAGAUAUCAGGAGGAACGCCGGAGGCGAAAGCGACUCUCUGGCCUGUUACUGACGCUGAGGUGCGAAAGCUAGGGGAGCGAACGGGAUUAGAUACCCGGGUAGUCC
rnacentral:rRNA from 1 species